AUUGGAGCAAUUCUAAUAAAAGAAGGCAGUGCUGCUAAGGGAGAAGUGGUAGGAAUCUCCCAGAGAAGCCCCAGAAACUGUUUUGUACUGGCAAGUCCCAAUGAAAUGGCAAAUACACCAGUGGCCUCCUUUGAUGUUAGUUGUGGACACAUCACUUAUUUUCAACCAACAGAAUGUAUGUGAACAAUGGAAGAAUAGUUUCCAUUUAAGAUGGCUUCAGGAAAGUGGUGCUUGUAAGAAGAAUCAAGUUCCAAUUAAUGUCAAGAGUCAUCCACGCGGACACCAACAUCUGAUGGAUUCAGGAAUACACCAAGCUCCAAGAAAAAUACCCCCGCCCCACAACCUCACCACCACCGAUAAAGCCACCUAAUCCUGUCUGAAUCUCUUCUCUGCAAAUGUUUUGGUAUGCAAAUACUCGUUCAUUAAUAAGAGGAAGCAGGAAAAAGAGUGAAGAGGAGUACCAUGGGAAAGGGGGCCCCAAAAGGGAACGGCAGAACCCAGAGAGCUGCACUGACAAGUAAGCGACCGCGAGUAAUCGGUCAGCACAAAGGAGCCAAUCCCGAGCCGCGUGGAAGACCUUGGGAGGUGGGCGGGACUAACGU
rnacentral:lncRNA from 10 species